UACAGAGGUGGCAAGCGUUGUUCGGAAUUACUGGGCGUAAAGGGCGCGUAGGCGGUUCGUCAAGUCCUGUGUGAAAUCCCCCGGCUCAACUGGGGAACUGCACAGGAAACUAGCGGGCUUGAGUUCGGGAGAGGGAAGCGGAAUUCCGAGUGUAGAGGUGAAAUUCGUAGAUAUUCGGAGGAACACCAGUGGCGAAGGCGGCUCACUGGUCCGGUACUGACGCUGAGGUGCGAAAGCGUGGGGAGCAAACAGG
rnacentral:rRNA from 1 species